rnacentral:rRNA from 1 species
AACGAACGCUGGCGGCAUGCCUAAUACAUGCAAGUCGAACGAGACCUUCGGGCCUAGUGGCGCACGGGUGCGUAACGCGUGGGAAUCUGCCCUUGGGUUCGGAAUAACAGUUGGAAACGACUGCUAAUACCGGAUGAUGACGAAAGUCCAAAGAUUUAUCGCCCAGGGAUGAGCCCGCGUAGGAUUAGCUAGUUGGUGAG